rnacentral:tRNA from 1 species
CGGAGCGUAGCGCAGCCUGGUAGCGCACCUGUCUCGGGGUCAGGUGGCCGGAGGUUCGAAUCCUCUCGCUCCGACCA